GACGAACGCUGGCGGCGUGCUUAACACAUGCAAGUCGAACGGAAAGGCCCUGCUUUUGUGGGGUGCUCGAGUGGCGAACGGGUGCGUAACACGUGAGUAACCUGCCCUUGACUUUGGGAUAACUUCAGGAAACUGGGGCUAAUACCGGAUAGGAGCUCCUGCUGCAUGGUGGGGGUUGGAAAGUUUCGGCGGUUGGGGAUGGACUCGCGGCUUAUCAGCUUGUUGGUGGGGUAGUGGCUUACCAAGGCUUUGACGGGUAGCCGGCCUGAGAGGGUGACCGGCCACAUUGGGACUGAGAGACGGCCCAGACGCCUACGGGAGGCAGCAGUGGGGAAUAUUGCACAAUGGGCGGAAGCCUGAUGCAGCAACGCCGCGUGCGGGAUGACGGCCUGCGGGUUGUAAACCGCUUUCGCCUGUGACGAAGCGUGAGUGACGGUAAUGGGUAAAGAAGCACCGGCUAACUACGUG
rnacentral:rRNA from 1 species